AUCGCUUCUCGGCCUUUUGGCUAAGAUCAAGUGUAGUAUCUGCAUUUGGUCUGGUCGGAAGGUGUCUGUGGUACCCCGCUUCUCGGCCUUGGGGGAUUGUCUCUCCUUACGGAGGGACUUCACCCCCUUGCUGCUAUUGGGGAGCGGGCUGCGAUCCCCCUGUCUCUGGGACCUUGUGUCUCAGAAGGCAUUUUCGGU